rfam:Talaromyces stipitatus ATCC 10500 scf_1105507295515 genomic scaffold, whole genome shotgun sequence.
GCACCUAUAACUCAGCGGUAGAGUGCAUCACUAGUAAUGAUGAAGUCACCAGUUCGAUCCUGGUUAGGUGCU